UAGAGUUGCAAAACUCCCUAACCCUUUGUUGACAUACCUGUUGUGUUGCUUCGGCAGGCGGCCCCAGGGCGGGGCCUCCAGCCUAUUUUAUAGGUGCCUGCCGGAGGUAUUCAAAACUAUUGUCACUUUGUUAAAUCUGAUUAUAUUUAAAAAAUAAAUCA
rnacentral:misc_RNA from 1 species